rnacentral:rRNA from 1 species
UACGUAGGUGGCAAGCGUUGUCCGGAAUCACUGGGCGUAAAGGGUGCGUAGGCGGGUCUUUAAGUCCGGGGUGAAAUCCUGGAGCUCAACUCCAGAACUGCCUUUGAUACUGAGGAUCUUGAGUCCGGGAGAGGUGAGUGGAACUGCGAGUGUAGAGGUGAAAUUCGUAGAUAUUCGCAAGAACACCAGUGGCGAAGGCGGCUCACUGGCCCGGUACUGACGCUGAGGCACGAAAGCGUGGGGAGCAAACAGG